rnacentral:misc_RNA from 1 species
AACGCACAUUGCGCCUCUCGGUAUUCCGGGAGGCACGCCUGUUCGAGCGCCAUUACACCCUCCAAGCUCUGCUUGAUGUUGGACGCUGUGUUUUCUCUUUUUGGGGGACACACGUCUGGAACUUGUAGGCGUCCGUCACUGUCGAGACACCGCGAGCGUAGCAAGACUUUUAGUCAUUUUCGCUCUGUUGGAACUCCAGCGGACUGCCCUUAUGAUUUUAGGGGGGUUAACCCUCUAAAUUCAAAACCUCAAGAGUUUGGCCUCGGAUCAGGCGGGGAUACCCGCUGAACUUAA